rnacentral:lncRNA from 1 species
AUAAAUAUGUGAGGGCAACCUCACCCUUUGAACUAACUUUUGGGGAUGAGAUCCAAGCAUAUUUAACAGUUGUUUCCAUUCUUUAGGGUUCAUUUUUCUCCCCAAUUUUAAUUUUGUUUUUUUUUUUUUAGUCAUUUCAAGUUAUUGUUCGUUCUAGUGGUGAAAAUGAAGAAUCAAUUUAGAUAUGUUGUUGUAUUUCAUUUUGUUGUUGAACCAUGCUUUUGAAGGUUUAUGAAGGGUGAUUCAAAAUUGGAAAUGUAUUAAAGCAAAUUAAACACAUUCUUGAAUUG